UGAUCACAUUGAGCAAAGGAGUCGGCAUUGCAUUGCGCUGCAAGUGAGACCAAAGCUGCUGUCUGGGCACGGUGUCAUAAGCUUGAGAAAAAUCAAUAAAAGCAACGUGCAACCUGGGAGAAUUUCGUGGCUUCAAUUUUUUCGCAGCAUGUUUGAGGUGCCUCAAAAUAAACAGAGGAUGCAGAGUGCUCCUGCCUGGAAAGAAGCCAAACUGCGUGUCCGGAAUCUUACCCUUUUUCACACACCAGUCUGUCACCAGAUUUUUCAGCACGUUAGCAUAAAUCCUAUACAUUACACCGCUAACUGCAAUCAUCCUAUAAUUCCCAGGUUUCAGCACUUCUCCUUUUUUGUGAAUGGGGCUCAACUUGGCAACCUUCCAGCACGCAGGCACUUUACUUUCAGUCAGCAACACUUUAAAAAGACGAGCCAUCAGAGGCACCAGCACAUUUACUUGUUUGGUUUUAUUCCCAUACUGCACCGGCAAGCACGCAUGCUUAAGAAAAGGAAUCGGGAUCGCAUCAAAGCCUGAAGAGGCACCAGUACUCAACUUCUGAAAUUCACUACCCAACAUACCUUCUAACACAGAUACAUCAGGGAUCUCAAACUCAUCUGGCUCAGGAGCCCACCCAGAUUGCGCGCCCCGCCUGAGUAGGACCUCAGGUGGAAGGUUGCGCCGGCCCAGUGGCACAGCCAUAUCCCUCGCAGAUGGGCGAGACUCUUCAAAUGUCCUCUCUGCUCUGAAGUGUCUGUGUAAGUGAUCAUGCCAAGCUGGAGCAGGCACAGGGGUUGUGUGAGACUUGGUGUGCUUUUUCAGUAAAGCGUGCACUGCCGGAUCUUUCCG
rnacentral:lncRNA from 1 species